UGUACACACUGUUUUGCUCUGAUUAACAUAACGUUUUAUUAGCCAGUCAUUAGCCUGGUUUGUUAUACUUUUUACCAUAUUUUUUUUAAAAGGUGCAUCAUUCAGUAUGUCCUCCGGUGACCUUCUUGCAAAGAGGGAGAAAAUCGAACGCCAGAUUUUGGCUCUCGAACGCACCCUUGGUUCCGAAACCAACUCGAUUGAGCUGUCUUCUGACAGCUGUGCUUCUGAGGAUGGAUCUGAUGACAAUGAGUCUCAACCAGAACAUUUGGGUCCUUCAGAGAACUUGGAGGCAGAGCGGCA
ensembl:lncRNA